CACAGCGCCUGCAAUGUGGAGG
rnacentral:miRNA from 1 species